UACGGAGGGGGGCUAGCGUUGUUCGGAAUUACUGGGCGUAAAAGCGCGCGUAGGCGGCUUUUGUAAGUUAGAGGUGAAAGCCCGGAGCUCAACUCCGGAAUUGCCUUUAAGACUGCAUCGCUAGAAUCAUGGAGAGGUUAGUGGAAUUCCGAGUGUAGAGGUGAAAAUUCGUAGAUAUUCGGAAGAACACCAGUGGCGAAGGCGACUAACUGGACAUGUAUUGACGCUGAGGUGCAAAACGUGGGGAGCAAACAGG
rnacentral:rRNA from 1 species